rnacentral:rRNA from 1 species
UUGUCUCUUGGAAAUAUAGGAGAUAGGGCCUGCCCAAUGAAAUUUCAAUGGCCGCAGUAAUUUGACUGUGCAAAGGUAGCAUAAUCAUUAGUUUUUUAAUUGAGGACUGGUAUGAAAGGCAUAAUGAGGUACUUGUUUUCUUAAAUAAAAGAAUAAAAUUUUACUUUUUAGUUAAAAGGCUAAAGUAAUAUAAAGGGACGAGAAGACCCUAUAGAGUUUUAUAAAUUAAAUUAAUUUAUUUUAGUAAAAUUAAAGAAUUGAUGGAAUUUAUUUAGUUGGGGAGAUUUUGUAAUAAAACUUAUAAUUAUAUAAACAUUUAUAUAUGAUUUUAAGAUCCAUAAAUUGAUUAAAAAAUUAAAUUACCUUAGGGAUAACAGCGUUAUUUUCUUGGAGAGUUCUUAUCAAUAGGAAAGUUUGCGACCUCGAUGUUGGAUUAAGAAAAUAGUUAAAUGAAGCCGUUUAAUUAAUAGGUCUGUUCGACCUUUAAAAUCUUACA